GAGCAGCAGGCGCGCAAUUACCCAAUCCUGAUUCAGGGAGGUAGCGACAAGAAAUAACGGUUGCAGACUCAUACGAGCCUGUUAAUUGGAAUGAGGAUAAUUUACACCCCUUCUCGAGGAUCCAUUGGAGGGCAAGUCUGGUGCCAGCAGCCGCGGUAAUUCCAGCUCCAAUAGCGUAUACUAAAGUUGUUGCAGUUAAAAAGCUCGUAGUCGAAUACGGAUUUUCGCAAGCCGUUUCUCUUGGGUGAAAAUCUUAAGAGAAAUUUGCAAGUAGAAUCCAAGCAUGUUGACUUUUUCUUUUCUUUAUUUUAUUGUUUUUAAUUUUACAUUGAAAGCAUAAAAAUUGAUCGAAUUAGUGGCAUUAUUUACUGUGAACAAAAUAGAGUGUUCAUGGCAGGCCUUUUAUGGCUUAUAUACCUCAGCAUGGAAUAAUAGAAUAGGACUUCCGGUUCCAUUUUAUUGGUUUUUAGAGCCGAAGUAAUGAUUAAUAGGGAUAGUUGGGGGCACCCGUACUCCGUUGUCAGAGGUGAAAUUCUUGGAUUUACGGAAGACGAACAACUGCGAAAGCAUCUGCCAAGGAUGUUUUCAUUGAUCAAGAACGAAAGUUAGGGGAUCGAAGACGAUUAGAUACCGUCGUAGUCUUAACCAUAAACUAUGCCGACUGGGGAUUGGUAGAUGUAUC
rnacentral:rRNA from 1 species